UGGGGAAUUUUGGACAAUGGGCGAAAGCCUGAUCCAGCCAUGCCGCGUGAGUGAAGAAGGCCUUCGGGUUGUAAAGCUCUUUUAGUCGGAAAGAAAGAGUUGCAAUGAAUAAUUGUGAUUUAUGACGGUACCGACAGAAAAAGCACCGGCUAACUACGUGCCAGCAGCCGCGGUAAUACGUAGGGUGCGAGCGUUAAUCGAAAUUACUGGGCGUAAAGGGUGCGCAGGCGGUCUUGCAAGUCAGAUGUGAAAGCCCCGGGCUUAACCUGGGAAUUGCGUUUGAAACUACAAGGCUAGAGUGCAGCAGAGGGGAGUGGAAUUCCAUGUGUAGCAGUGAAAUGCGUAGAGAUGUGGAAGAACACCGAUGGCGAAGGCAGCUCCCUGGGUUGACACUGACGCCCAUGCACGAAAGCGUGGGGAGCAAACA
rnacentral:rRNA from 1 species